rnacentral:rRNA from 1 species
UACGUAGGGGGCAAGCGGUUGUCCGGAAUCAUUGGGCGUAAAGAGCGUGUAGGCGGCCCGAUAAGUCCGCUGUGAAAGUCCAGGGCUCAACCCUGGAAUGCCGGUGGAUACUGUCGGGCUCGAGUCCGGAAGAGGCGAGUGGAAUUCCGUGGUGUAGCGGUGGAAUGCGCAGAUAUCAGGAGGAACACCAAUGGCGAAGGCAGCUCGCUGGAACGGUACUGACGCUGAGGCGCGAAAGGCGUGGGGAGCGAACAGG